GGCCAGACUCCUACGGGAGGCAGCAGUGGGGAAUAUUGCACAAUGGGGGAAACCCUGAUGCAGCGACGCCGCGUGAGCGAUGAAGUAUUUCGGUAUGUAAAGCUCUAUCAGCAGGGAAGAAAAUGACGGUACCUGACUAAGAAGCCCCGGCUAACUACGUGCCAGCAGCCGCGGUAAUACGUAGGGGGCAAGCGUUAUCCGGAUUUACUGGGUGUAAAGGGAGCGUAGACGGUCCUGCAAGCCAGAUGUGAAAGCCCGGGGCUCAACCCCGGGACUGCAUUUGAAACUGUCAGGCUGGAGUGCAGGAGAGGUAAGUGGAAUUCCUAGUGUAGCGGUGAAAUGCGUAGAUAUUAGGAGGAACACCAGUGGCGAAGGCGGCUUACUGGACUGUAACUGACGUUGAGGCUCGAAAGCGUGGGGAGCAAACAGGAUUAGAUACCCCGGUAUUG
rnacentral:rRNA from 1 species